rfam:Mus musculus chromosome 9, GRC primary reference assembly.
GGAGAUUUAGCUCAGUGGUAGAGCGCUUGCCUAGCAAGCACAAGGCCCUGGGUUCGGUCCUCAGCUCUG